rnacentral:rRNA from 1 species
GGGGGCACACAGGGUAACNUUGCGCAAUGGACUGUAUGGUCUGACGCAGCGACACCGCGUGGAGGAUGAAUGCUUUAGGGUUGUAAACUCCUUUUCUUAGGGAAGAUGAUGACGGUACCUAAGGAAUAAGCAUCGGCUAACUACGUGCCAGCAGCCGCGGUAAUAU